AAACUGGUUAAUACUACGGAUACCUGGGUCUCCCUCCAAAGAUGCAGAUUCGCUAGGUCUAAGGUUGAGCCCAGGAAUCUGCAUUUUGAACAUGUGAACCAGGUGAUUCUGAAUAAAUGGG
rnacentral:miRNA from 1 species